rnacentral:rRNA from 1 species
AGAGUUUGAUCCUGGCUCAGGAUGAACGCUAGCGGCAGGCUUAACACAUGCAAGUCGAGGGGUAUAAGUCUUCGGAUUUAGAGACCGGCGCACGGGUGCGUAACGCGUAUGCAAUCUACCUUUUACAGAGGGAUAGCCCAGAGAAAUCUGGAUUAAUACCUCAUAGCAUAGCAGCUUCGCAUGAAGUCACUAUUAAAGUCACAACGGUAAAAGAUGAGCAUGCGUCCCAUUAGCUUGUUGGUAAGGUAACGGCUUACCAAGGCUACGAUGGGUAGGGGUCCUGAGAGGGAGAUCCCCCACACUGGUACUGAGACACGGACCAGACUCCUACGGGAGGCAGCAGUGAGGAAUAUUGGACAAUGGGCGCAAGCCUGAUCCAGCCAUGCCGCGUGCAGGAUGACGGUCCUAUGGAUUGUAAACUGCUUUUGCACAGGAAGAAACAACUCUACGUGUAGAGUCUUGACGGUACUGUGAGAAUAAGGAUCGGCUAACUCCGUGCCAGCAGCCGCGGUAAUACGGAGGAUCCAAGCGUUAUCCGGAAUCAUUGGGUUUAAAGGGUCCGUAGGCGGUUUAGUAAGUCAGUGGUGAAAGCCCAUCGCUCAACGGUGGAACGGCCAUUGAUACUGCUAAACUUGAAUUAUUAGGAAGUAACUAGAAUAUGUAGUGUAGCGGUGAAAUGCUUAGAGAUUACAUGGAAUACCAAUUGCGAAGGCAGGUUACUACUAAUGGAUUGACGCUGGUGGACGAAAGCGUGGGUAGCGAACAGGAUUAGAUACCCUGGUAGUCCACGCCGUAAACGAUGGAUACUAGCUGUUGGAAGCAAUUUCAGUGGCUAAGCGAAAGUGAUAAGUAUCCCACCUGGGGAGUACGUUCGCAAGAAUGAAACUCAAAGGAAUUGACGGGGGCCCGCACAAGCGGUGGAGCAUGUGGUUUAAUUCGAUGAUACGCGAGGAACCUUACCAAGGCUUAAAUGUAGAUUGACCGGUUUGGAAACAGACUUUUCGCAAGACAAUUUACAAGGUGCUGCAUGGUUGUCGUCAGCUCGUGCCGUGAGGUGUCAGGUUAAGUCCUAUAACGAGCGCAACCCCUGUUGUUAGUUGCCAGCGAGUCAUGUCGGGAACUCUAACAAGACUGCCAGUGUAAACUGUGAGGAAGGUGGGGAUGACGUCAAAUCAUCACGGCCCUUACGCCUUGGGCUACACACGUGCUACAAUGGCCGGUACAGAGAGCAGCCACUGGGCGACCAGGAGCGAAUCUAUAAAACCGGUCACAGUUCGGAUCGGAGUCUGCAACUCGACUCCGUGAAGCUGGAAUCGCUAGUAAUCGGAUAUCAGCCAUGAUCCGGUGAAUACGUUCCCGGGCCUUGUACACACCGCCCGUCAAGCCAUGGAAGCUGGGGGUGCCUGAAGUCGGUGACCGCAAGGAGCUGCCUAGGGUAAAACUGGUAACUAGGGCUAAGUCGUAACAAGGUA